rnacentral:rRNA from 1 species
UACGAGGAGGGCUAGCGUUGCUCGGAAUCACUGGGCGUAAAGGGUGCGUAGGCGGGUCUUUAAGUCAGGGGUGAAAUCCUGGAGCUCAACUCCAGAACUGCCUUUGAUACUGAAGAUCUUGAGUUCGGGAGAGGUGAGUGGAACUGCGAGUGUAGAGGUGAAAUUCGUAGAUAUUCGCAAGAACACCCGUGGCUAAGGCGGCUCUCUGGGACGGUACUGACGCUGAGGUGCGAAAGCGUGGGGAGCAAACAGG